rnacentral:rRNA from 1 species
AUUGAACGCUGGCGGCAGGCUUAACACAUGCAAGUCGAGCGGGGUGAUGGUGCUUGCACUAUCACUUAGCGGCGGACGGGUGAGUAAUGCUUAGGAAUCUGCCUAUUAGUGGGGGACAACAUCUCGAAAGGGAUGCUAAUACCGCAUACGUCCUACGGGAGAAAGCAGGGGAUCACUUGUGACCUUGCGCUAAUAGAUGAGCCUAAGUCGGAUUAGCUAGUUGGUGGGGUAAAGGCCUACCAAGGCGGCGAUCUGUAGCGGGUCUGAGAGGAUGAUCCGCCACACUGGGACUGAGACACGGCCCAGACUCCUACGGGAGGCAGCAGUGGGGAAUAUUGGACAAUGGGGGGAACCCUGAUCCAGCCAUGCCGCGUGUGUGAAGAAGGCCUUAUGGUUGUAAAGCACUUUGAGCGAGGAGGAGGCUCUUUUGGUUAAUACCCAAGAUGAGUGGACGUUACUCGCAGAAUAAGCACCGGCUAACUCUGUGCCAGCAGCCGCGGUAA